rnacentral:rRNA from 1 species
GAUGAACGCUAGCGGCAGGCCUAAUACAUGCAAGUCGGACGGGAUUCAGGAGCUUGCUUCUGAUGAGAGUGGCGCACGGGUGCGUAACACGUAUGUAACCUACCUUUAUCAGGGGGAUAGCCUCUCGAAAGAGAGAUUAAGCCCGCAUAAAAUCACAGCACAGCAUUGUGUAAUGAUCAAAUAUUUAUAGGAUAAAGAUGGGCAUGCGGAACAUUAGCUAGAUGGCGGGGUAACGGCCCACCAUGGCGACGAUGUUUAGGGGAUCUGAGAGGAUGGCCCCACACACUGGUACUGAGACACGGACCAGACGCCUACGGGAGGCAGCAGUAAGGAAUAUUGCUCAACGGGCGGAAGCCUGAACCAGCCAUGCCGUGUGCAGGAAGACGGCCCUACGGGUUGUAAACUGCUUUUAGACGGGAAUAAACCCAGAUACGAGUAUCUGGCUGAAUGUACUGUAAGAAUAAGGUUCGGCUAACUCCGUG